rnacentral:rRNA from 1 species
AUUGAACGCUGGCGGCAGGCCUAACACAUGCAAGUCGAACGAGUGGCGGACGGGUGAGUAAUGUCUGGGAAACUGCCUGAUGGAGGGGGAUAACUACUGGAAACGGUAGCUAAUACCGCAUACCAUCGGAUGUGCCCAGAUGGGAUUAGCUAGUAGGUGGGGUAACGGCUCACCUAGGCGACGAUCCCUCUCUGGUGUGAGAGGAUGACCAGCCACACUGUAACGGAGACACGGUCCAGACUCCUACGGGAGGCAGCAGUGGGGAAUAGUGCACAAUGGGGGCAAGCCUGAUGCAGCCAUGCCGCGUGUAUGAAGAAGGCCUUCGGGUUGUAAAGUACUUUCAGCGAGGAGGCGUUACUCGCAGAAGAAGCACCGGCUAACUCCGUGCCAGCAGCCGCGGUAAUUC